AUUGAACGCUGGCGGCAUGCUUUACACAUGCAAGUCGAACGGCAGCGCGGGCUUCGGCCUGGCGGCGAGUGGCGAACGGGUGAGUAAUACAUCGGAACGUGCCCAGUAGUGGGGGAUAGCUCGGCGAAAGCCGGAUUAAUACCGCAUACGACCUGAGGGUGAAAGCGGGGGAUCUUCGGACCUCCCGCUAUUGGAGCGGCCGAUGGCAGAUUAGCUAGUUGGUGGGGUAAAGGCCUACCAAGGCGACGAUCUGUAGCUGGUCUGAGAGGACGACCAGCCACACUGGGACUGAGAUACGGCCCAGACUCCUACGGGAGGCAGCAGUGGGGAAUUUUGGACAAUGGGCGAAAGCCUGAUCCAGCAAUGCCGCGUGUGUGAUGAAGGCCUUCGGGUUGUAAAGCACUUUUGGCGGGAACGAAAAGGACUGUGCCAAUACCACGGUUCGAUGACGGUACCCGCAGAAUAAGCACCGGCUAACUACGUG
rnacentral:rRNA from 1 species